GAUGAACGCUGGCGGCGUGCUUAAUACAUGCAAGUCGAACGGAAAGGCCCUGCUUUUGUGGCGUGCUCGAGUGCCGAACGGGUGAGUAACACGUGUGUAACCUGCACUUGUCUUUGUGAUAACUUCAGGAAACUGCGGCUCAUACCGCAUAGGAGCUACUGCUGCGUGGUGGGGGUUGGAAAGAUUCGGUGUUUGUGGAUGGUCUGGCGGCUUAUCAGCUUGUUGGGGGGGUAGUGGCUUACCAAGGUUUGGAAGGGUAGCCGGCCUGGGCAGGUGACCGGCCACAUUGGGCCUAAGAGACGGACCAGACUCCUACGUGAGGCAGCAGUGGGGAAUAUUGCAGAACGGCGGGAAGUCUGAGACAGCAAUCCCGCGAGCGGGAUGCCCGCCUUCGGGUUGUAAACCGCUUUCGCCGGUGACAAAGCGGGAGUGACGGUAACUGGUAAAGAAGCAACGGCUAACUACGUG
rnacentral:rRNA from 1 species